rnacentral:rRNA from 1 species
UACGUAGGUGGCAAGCGUUGUCCGGAUUGACUGGGCGUAAAGCGCACGCAGGCGGCUGUGCACGUGGGGUGUGAAAGCUGGCGGCUUAACUGCCAGACGCCACCUCAUACGGCACGGCUCGAGCCCGUGAGAGGUCCACGGAAUUGCCGGUGUAGUGGUGAAAUGCGUAGAGAUCGGCAGGAACACCCAGGGGGAAACCAGUGGACUGGCACGGUGCUGACGCUCAGGGUGCGAAAGCGUGGGGAGCGAACCGG